rnacentral:sRNA from 1 species
CACAACUUCAUCUAGAACUGGCUAUAGCCAAUAUCGAUAGGCGGCCAGUCGCUGAAAAAAAUUCCAUCUACGCCACAGCACUAAAUCAACUGGC